rnacentral:tRNA from 1 species
CGCUGCCUGGUCCGAUGGCAUGGGCUCAUCGAACUGCCGCUUUAAUCAAUGGGUCAGUUGGCCAAUUCGUUGUUCGAGCCAUUGGGUGGAGGCC